AGGGUAAUAGCUCAGUGGUGGAGUGCAUGAUUAGCAUGCACGAGGUCCUGGGUUCAAUCCCAGUAACUCCA
rnacentral:tRNA from 1 species